CCUACGGGGGGCUGCAGUGGGGAAUAUUGGACAAUGGGCGAAAGCCUGAUCCAGCCAUGCCGCGUGUGUGAAGAAGGCCUUCGGGUUGUAAAGCACUUUCAGUGGGGAAGAAAGCCUUGGGGCUAAUACCCUCGAGGAAGGACAUCACCCACAGAAGAAGCACCGGCUAACUCCGUGCCAGCAGCCGCGGUAAUACGGAGGGUGCGAGCAUUAAUCGGAAUUACUGGGCGUAAAGCGCGCGUAGGCGGUCUGAUAAGCCGGUUGUGAAAGCCCCGGGCUCAACCUGGGAACGGCAUCCGGAACUGUCAGGCUAGAGUGCAGGAGAGGAAGGUAGAAUUCCCGGUGUAGCGGUGAAAUGCGUAGAGAUCGGGAGGAAUACCAGUGGCGAAGGCGGCCUUCUGGACUGACACUGACGCUGAGGUGCGAAAGCGUGGGUAGCAAACAGGAUUAGAUACCCUGGUAGUC
rnacentral:rRNA from 1 species